rnacentral:rRNA from 1 species
AGUGAACGCUGGCGGCAGGCCUAAUACAUGCAAGUCGAACGGCAGCACAGCAGAGCUUGCCCUGUGGGUGGCGAGUGGCGGACGGGUGAGGAAUACGCGGGAAUCUGCCCAGUCGUGGGGGAUAACGUAGGGAAACUUACGCUAAUACCGCAUGCGCCCUUCGGGGGAAAGCCGGGGACCUUCGGGCCUGGCGCGAUUGGAUGGGCGCACGUCGGAUUAGCUAGUUGGCAGGGUAAAGGCCCACCAAGGCGACGAUCCGUAGCUGGUCUGAGAGGAUGAUCAGCCACACUGGAACUGAGACACGGUCCAGACUCCUACGGGAGGCAGCAGUAGGGAAUAUUGGACAAUGGGCGCAAGCCUGAUCCAGCCAUGCCGCGUGAGUGAAGAAGGCCCUCGGGUUGUAAAGCUCUUUUGUCCGGAAAGAAAAGCGCCGGGUUAAUACCCUGGUGUCCUGACGGUACCGGAAGAAUAAGCACCGGCUAACUUCGUGCCAGCCGCCGCCGUAAGAC